rnacentral:rRNA from 1 species
UAGGGAAUCUUCCGCAAUGGACGCAAGUCUGACGGAGAAAAGCCGCGUGAGUGAAGAAGGAUUUCGGUUCGUAAAACUCUGUUGUUAGAGAAGAACAGCGCAUAGAGUAAAUGUUAUGCGUGUGACGGUAUCUAACCAGAAAGCCACGGCUAACUACGUGCCAGCAGCUGCGGUAAUACGUAGGUGGCAAGCGUUGUCCGGAUUUAUUGGGCGUAAAGCGAGCGCAGGCGGUCAAUUAAGUCUGAUGUGAAAGCCCCCGGCUCAACCCGGGAGGUUCAUUGGAAACUUGUUGACUUGAGUUCAGAAGAGGAGAGUGGAAUUCCAUGUGUAUCGGUUAAAUACGUCUCUAUAUGUAGGACCACCAGUGCCGAAGGCGACUCUCUGGUCUGUAACUUACGCUCAGGCUCGAAAGCGUGGGUAGCAAACAGG